rnacentral:tRNA from 1 species
GUUCGCUUAGUUCAGUGGUUAGAACUCCGCACUGUGGCUGCGGCAACCCCGAUUCAAUUUCGGGAGUGGACC